UACAGAGGUCCCGAGCGUUGUUCGGAUUUAUUGGGCGUAAAGGGUGCGUAGGCGGCGGAGUAAGUUGGGUGUGAAAUCCCGGGGCUUAACCUCGGAAUUGCAUUCAAUACUGCUUCGCUUGAGUACUGGAGAGGAGGCUGGAAUUUACGGUGUAGCAGUGAAAUGCGUAGAUAUCGUAAGGAAGGCCGGUGGCGAAAGCGAGCCUCUGGACAGUUACUGACGCUGAUGCACGAAGGCCAGGGGAGCAAACGGGG
rnacentral:rRNA from 1 species